GACGAACGCUGGCGGCGUGCUUAACACAUGCAAGUCGAACGAAGUGGCGAACGGGUGAGUAACGAGUAAUCAACCUGCCCUUCAGAGGGGGACAACAGUUGGCAACGACUGCUAAUACCGCAUACUGAAGGAGGGGAGUGCGUCUGAUUAGCUAGUUGGAGGGGUAACGACCCACCAAGGCGAUGAUCAGUAGCCGGUCUGAGAGGAUGAACCGCCACAUUGGGACUGGGACAAGGCCCAGACUCCUACGGGAGGCAGCAGUGGGGAAUCUUUCGCAAUGGACGAAAGUCUGACGGAGCAACGCCGCGUGAGUGAUGACGGCCUUCGGGUUGUAAAGCUCUGUUAAUCGGGACGCGGUACCGGAAUAGAAAGCCACGGCUAACUACGUGCCAGCAGCCGCGGUAAUUC
rnacentral:rRNA from 1 species